UUGUAGAAGUUUGAAGAAGUUGGAUCUCUCUUAUUGCAAGCAACUCAGAAGGACUCCAAACUUCAACGGUUCACGAAGUCUUGAGACUUUGCUGCUUGGUGGUUGCUCAAGUCUGACAGAGAUCCAUCCAUCAAUAGGAAAUUUGGACAGACUAAUUAAACUAGAUAUGUCUAGUAGCGAAAAAAUUACGUAUCUUCCAAGCAGCAUAUGCCAGCUAAAAUCCCUUGAAGACUUGGACGUUGAUGGCUGCUCAUCUAUAAAAACACUGCCAGAUAACCUUGGAGAUAUGAAAAGUCUAUUAUGUCUUUCUGCAUCUGGUACGGGUAUAAAACAAUUGCCUAGAUCUGUUGAAAUGCUAAGAAAUCUUUUAACUUUGAGAGUGGGAGGUCGAAAGAGAGAGGCCAAAAGGAGUAUUUCUGGAAGUGGAGUCCAUCGGAUACAAUAUUCCUUGUCAACUUUUGUAUCCGAAUUGAGCCUUACAUACUGUAAUUUGUCCGAGGCUGAUAUUCCUAGGGAUAUUGGGAGCUUAUCCUCCUUAGAAUAUUUAGAUUUGAGUGGCAACAGUUUCCAUUGUCUACCCAUUGAUUUUUCUAAGUUAGGAUUAUUGGCGGAGUUGUGUUUGAAUGACUGUGAGAAUCUUCAAACACUCCCGUCAGUAUCAAAUUUAGAGAAUCUUGCAAUUAUUGAACUUGAAAAUUGCCAAAAAUUGGUCAAGAUUACAGAGUUGGACAACCUCCCUUCUAUAAAGCGGAUCUACAUGAUAAAUUGUAGUUCUCUGCAGAAUCCAUUCAAUGAAGGCUUCUUUAGUGCACCUGCUGCAUUUAGAAAAGAUCCAGAUAUGGUUAGUCUCUCUCUCUCUCUCUCUCUCUCUCUCUCUCUCUCUCCUAUCAUAUUAAUGAUCUUGAGUCUUUAUCCGAUGCAGGAUUGUUUAGAAAUUUAUCUCGAAUGCAAUGAGAUUCCAGAAUGGUGCAGGAAUCAAGUAACAGCUUCAUCUAUGUGUUUGACUAUGCCGACACAUAAUAAUGAGGAGUAUAACUUCUUAGGAAUGGUUCUCUGGUUUGUUUCCGACUUUUUGGAUGCAGACCCUUCUUCAAGCUUCUCGAUUAGUAUUGCCCAUAAAAAGAAUUUAAUUGAUACGUGGAAUAUACCUUAUGAACAUAGAGAAGUAUCAUGUGUAUAUUACAUAAAUGAAGCUUUUGAUGGCCAGAUGAUUAAAGGCGGGGAAAUGAUAGAAGUGUGGUCUGAAGACAUUACAGUAAAGAAGAUAGGGAUCCAUCUGUUAUAUUUAGACCAACAUGGUAAAGUUAUAUCUUUGCCGGGAGAAGUGGAUCAUUCUUAUUCUAAGUACCCAAAAAGAGUUUCUUAGUUGGUCAGAAACGUUUUAAAUGAUAGAGUAUUGUUUAGCUUGUUCGGCAUUGGAUUCGUCUUGUUCGAGGUAAGUAACAUCUCUAAUCUUGGAGCUGAAGGUAUGAACCCUGAUUAUACGUGUUAUGUGAAUUGUUUGGAGGUGACGCACAUGCUAGAUGACGGGCGUGUGGGCGUGCACCGUAGAAAUUGAGACUCGGUUGAUUUCGUAGAGCUGUAUAGUCAAUUAACUUGUAUUUUUCCAUGUAUUUUUAUGUGUUAGAGAAACUGAGUUGUGACUCAUGUUAGAAAUCAUGUUUAGGCAAAUGUUGGAAUUAUCGGGACCCCCUGAGGUCAUUUCUGGUGUCAAAUUAUAUGUUUAAAUUGUAAUUUCAUAUUCAGUCAUAUUCAUUCAUUGCAUAUCAUAUCUCAGUCUCUGUUGUUAUUCAUUGAUACAUCAUAUCAUUAUUUUGGGCUAGUUUCAUGACAUUGUGAGCCCGAGAGACUGGAGAGAUUGAUGACUGAGUGAGGCCGGGGGCCUGAUUGUGAGGAUAAUUAUGGGAUCGGGCUGCACGUUGCAGCAAGCCAUAUUGGCUUUAUAUAAUUUAUUAUUAUGGGAUCGGGCUGCACGUUGCAGUAGGCCAGAUUGGCUCAUUAUAACACGUGAGUUGUCCGUACGGAUCCAGAAUUGAUACUAUAGUACGUGAGUUGUCCGUGCAUCACGUGAGUUGUUCGUGCAGAUUAUAGCGUUUGGGCUAAAGGAGCCCCUCCGGAGUUUGUAUACACCCCCAGUGAGCGCAGGUACCUACUGAGUGCGAGUGCCGAGCGAUUGGGAGGAUUGAGUGAUUGGGAGGAUUGAGUGAAUUGAUACUUUGAGAGUAUGCAUAUAGUUUUAUCACUGAGUUGCAUCGCAUUCGACAUGCACACUUGACAUACAAGCAUAGUGAUGCAUUUUUCCUUAUGUUGUACGGUAUCACGUCAUUCAUGAUUUCUCAUACAUAUUGAUAUGUAGGCUUAGAGAUGUAUUUUCCUCGUGCCAUUUGAAAAUGAAACAUUUACCUGUUGAAAGCUUUGAGAAAAAACAGAGAUCUCAGACUUACUCGUACUUCGGUGACUUUCGGCAAAAGAUUUGAGUUUUACUGUUAUAUUGAAAAGAAAAUGUUUAUUUUUCCGGAAUUUUAUACGAGUUGAGCAUUUUAUUAUUGAGUUAUUACUUGUGCUGCCUUAAAUUGUAUUGUUAUGAGAUAUUAUUAGUUAUUGGAGUUGGACUCUGACCCUUGUCCCAGCUCGUCACUACUUUCAACCUAAGGUUAUGUUUUGUUACUUAUUGAGUGUAUGAGGUCGGUUGUAUUCAUAUUACACUUCUGCACCUUACGUGCAGAUUUUGGAUGUUGAUGCUGUUGUACAUGGCGGGAGCUGGAUCUGAAGAUGUGCCUACGUUCCAGUCAUUGCUGCCUCUUGUUCAUGGUAACUUUAGAAUUUUAAUCUGUUCAUGUAUAUUUCAAACAAAUGAUGUAUUUUUAUUUCACACCAGAUGUGUAAAAUCUAUUCUUAGAAGCUCAUAAUUUAUACUACCAGUCCUUGGGGAGUGUAUUAGAGUCAGUUAAAUAUUAAUUGAAUCGGAUAUUUAUAAAUUGGCUUAUCUAACGGGUUGAGUUAGGUGUCAUCACGGCUAGUUGAAUUUUUGGAUCGUGACAUUUCAAUUCCUAGAAGGAAGCACAAUCAUGAACUGUACUAUAUUUAUACUACCUCUUCGGUAAGCUCUUGUUUAAUUUUAUUCGGUUAAAUUUAUGGAUGUUUCAAUUUGUAAUAGCCUAAAUUUUCUAAACCUCUUUAUUUUAUUUCAAAAUUUAACUAAGAGAAUUCGCCAAAGUCCUAUUUCAUUACUCUACAAGAGAAUAAAAUCAAGGUUUAUGUAUAGGUCACAGUCUAAGUCCAAUUUUGAAGUCUUUGUGUUGAUAAACUCAAAGUCGUUUGUGUGGGGUUUGUUUAAGUCUUUUUCUUUUAACUUCUUUCACAUGGUUGAUAAGUGAACUGAGAGAAUUGAUCAAAAUUCACUAGUAAUAAAUAUUUUCAUUCUUUGAAUAUGGAAACUUUUUUAAAAAAGAAAAAAGAAAAAAGGAAAAUAUGAAGGUUUCCACUUAAUUUCUACCAUUUUCUCCUACAACACGUUGAAUGCCAAAUUGACUUACGAAGAACCCACAAGUAAUUUCUUAGAAAGAAUCAUAAUCAUGAACAGUACUGUAUUUAUACUCCCACUUCAGGAAGCUCUUGUUUAAUUAUAUUCAAUUAGAUUUAUGGAUAUUUCAAUUUGUAGUGGCCUAACAAUUCUGAACUUCUUUUAUUAUGGUUAUGCAAAAGAGGAACUACCUAAAAAAUAUUUAGGGAAAUUUCCAUUUUCUUUCGGUUGACCCUUCUGCAGGGUUGUAAAUAACUUGACCCAAAAAUAAUACUUCUUCUGUAAUAUUGUUUAACCAGACACAAAAUUUAACGAGAGAAAUGAAGAUUUUUGAAAUAUAUGGUCUAAAAUAAGUAUUAAAUAUUGGUGGUGAUUAUAAAUUAUCUCAUUAAGAUUAAAUGAGUAUUUUAAAGUUUAAUUUUUUUAAAUAUAAAAAAAUAAUAUUUUUUUAAACGAAUUAAAAGAGAAAGUGUGUUAAUAUAGGAACAAAAGAAUUAUUAAUGAGGUAGAGUGACUUGGGUAGAUAGCUUGCUGGCAAGUAAAAGGCCAAACUUCUAACCGUUAUCUUUUUAUUUUAUUCUUAUUGUAAUGAUUUAUUGUGUGACUUGUUUUAUAUCACAUGUUUUAAAAAAAUUAUUUUUAUUUUAAAUUUCAUAUUUGUAAAAAUACCAUCAUAUAAAUUUAGACGGAUAAAAUAAAUGAAUUUUGACUUAUUCUUUCAAUUCACUUGCCGAUAAUAUAGAAGCGAUUCAAAGAAAAAGACUUUUGAGAUGCAAAAGAAGAGAACCCAAAAACUUGUAGAGUGUUUGCACUCAAUUUCUAUCAAGGCAAGUUGUAUAUACUAUCAAUACUAAAAAAUCCAAAAGUAAUUUUCUAGAACAACUCACAAACCUUGAACUAUACUUCCUUUUCGGUAAGCUCUUGUUUAAUUUUAUUUGAUUAAAUUUAUGAAUAUUGUUUCAAUAUGUAAUGGCCUAAAAUUUCUAAAGGAAUUCACAAAAUUCCUAUUCAUCACUCUACAAGAAAAUAUACUCAAGGGUCAUGUAUGAGGUGCAAAUUCAGAGGUGUAUCCAAGAUUUGAUGAUUACGGAUGUCACUGCUUUUAAUGCAAACCGACCACUAGUGACGAGAUUGAAUAUAGGUGUACAUUACGUUAGUUUGAUCCAUUUUAAAUUAAUUCUGUUCAACCCAUCUUAACCUUUUUAGAUAAAUCCAUUUUAACUUUUUUAGAUGUACAGUAUGAAUUACAGUGAAAUUUAUUUACACUAUAAGACUAAAAAUUUUGUACAAAAAAGACAUCUAAGAAAUAUGUACAAGAAUUAAGUUUCCAACCAGAAACCACAAAGCCUAAGAAAUAUCAAGGGAAACUUCCAUUUUAUUUCGUUGUGCUUAUAUGUAGCUCUGCUUAGCUACUUUCCCUUUACUGAAAAAUCAACCCUUAAUUCUUGCAUUCUCAUCAAAUCAAAUGGAUACUCAAUUAGUUAGAGGAGAAUCAUCUCACUUCUCUUAUGAAGUAUUCCUGAGUUUUAGAGGUGAAGACACCCGAAAAACAUUCACUGGUCAUCUUUAUUCCAAAUUGUCUGAUGUUGGAAUUAAUACCUUCAUUGACGACGAGGAAUUGAGAAAGGGUGACGUGAUUUCAAGAGAAUUAGAGAAAGCAAUUGAAGAGUCAAGAAUUUCCAUUAUUGUUUUCUCAAGAAAUUAUGCUUCCUCUAGUUGGUGUCUAAAUGAACUAGUUAAAAUUCUCGAAUGCAAAGAGAAAUUAAAGCAGAUGGUUUUGUCUAUUUUCUAUGAUGUUGAUCCUUCUCAAGUGCGAAGACAAACUGGGUUAUUUGGGGAAGCUUUGGCAAAACAUAAGGAACGAUCAAUUGGGACUCAAAGGGUGGAGAAAUGGAGAGCUGCACUUACUGAAGCUGCAAAUUUAUCUGGAUGGGAUUUGCAAAAUGUUGCUGACGGGUACAUUUUCUUGAUUCAACUAUAUAAUUUCAUUUUUUAUUUGUUCAAUUGUUUAUCUAAUUACUGUAAAUUUGCUGAUAAAUAUUACUCCCUCUGUCCCGUCUAUGUGUCAUACUUUCCUUUUUAGUCUGUCCCAAAAAAAUGUCCACUGAAGCUCCUAUUUGGGUUUGAAAAGGUUGUAGGUUUGAGGUUGGACCUAGACGAUCUUUUUUUGAGCAUUUUUGAGCUAGCAUUUUUGUUAAAAAUUUGAGGCCAAGGAGAUACACCUCCAUUGCUUAUACGAUGUGAUAGAUUAAAGCUACCUAUGAAUUGUUUAUACAAUUUUAUGCAACUCUUCAACCUCUUUCCAGCAAUUUGAGAAGAAACCACAUUGCAAGAAACAAAAAAUUAUUAAUGGAGGAUAAACGCAUUUUGUCUUAAAAAAAUCACAUUGUACACACACACACAAAAAAUGAGGACUCCAAAUAGAAAUAGCGAUUUAGUCUCCUUGAGGAGAUGGUUAAUACAGUAAUGGAAAAGGCCUUUGUUUUAGUUGAAUGAGAGAAUGACUGCAGUUAAAAGAGGUGUAAUUUGGGUAAAAACAAAAUGGGUACCUUGCUAAGUUACUACCUUUAUAUAAUUACACUUGUCCAACCAAACAUGACAGUGAAAAUUACUUGGUAAUUAUGUUGUGGUAAACAAGCAGGUCAUUAUAAUUAUUAUGUUGUAUAAUUACUACACUAAUAAUUACACAACCAAGUAAUUAUGCAUGGCUUUCGGCAUAGACUUAAAGAGUUUAAGCUCUAUAAAUCGACCGUAUCAAAAUAUUUAUACAAUUAGGUCUCUUAUUAUAUGACUACCGGUAAAUUUUCUGAUAAAUAUAGUGAAAAAAAAUCUUUAUACUAUCAAUAUAUAUAACUUCAAUAAUUUCUUAAAAUAUCCUAUAUGAAGCGGUAAGUUGUCUAUUUUACUGCUUAGAUUCACCCCACUGUGUUAUGUCUUGGCUAUCGAUUUUGAUUUGACCAUCAAAUAGUUUCAAAUGUCAAAGUUUUAUUAUACUGGAGUAUUUUAACUUUUUGUUUUUGCUAUAGGCAUGAAUCAAAGUUUAUUGAAAAAAUUAUACAACAAGUCCUACAAGAGGUCAACCAGACGCCUCUAGAUGUUGCUUCCAGUUGGUGUAGAUUAUCGUGUCAAAGAUAUAGAUUUGUUAUUGCAAAAUGAAUGUGAAGAUGGAGUUCGCAUAAUUGGUAUUCACGGAGUUGGUGGCAUAGGGAAAACAACUCUGGCAAAAGCUAUCUACAAUCGAAUGUUUCGACUCUUCAAUAGUAGUUGCUUCCUUUCAGAUGUUAGAUCAGAAGCUGAAGAAUUUGGUCUUGUCAAGCUACAAGAGAAACUUCUUCGACAGAUUCUCAAAACUAAAGACAUCAAAGUUGGCAGUGUUGCUCAAGGCGUCAAUCUAAUCAAAGCAAGACUUGGGUCAAAGAAGGUUCUAAUUGUUCUUGAUGAUGUGGACCACAAAAAACAAUUAGAAUCCUUAACACGAGAAAGAAGUUGGUUUGGUUCGGGUAGUUUAAUAAUCAUUUCCACCCGAGACGAGCGAUUGCUAUGGCAGCUUAGAGAAAAAGAGAGAUAUGAGGUCAAACUAUUAAAUGACAAUGAAUCUAUGUUACUUUUUAGUUGGCAUGCUUUUGAUAGUCAUUUUCCACCAGAAGAUUAUGUUAAUUUGGCACGAGACAUAAUCAAAUAUUCAGGUAGGCUACCAUUAGCUCUUGUGACAUUGGGGUCACAUUUACAAGGAAGUUCUGUAGAAGAAUGGGGAUAUGAAUUCGAAAAACUAAGAGCAAUUCCUCAUUGUGAUAUCCAAAAGAUUCUCAGGAUAAGCUUUGAUGGACUUGAUGAUGAAACACAAGCAGUUUUUCUUGAUAUUGCGUGUGCCUUCCAGGGGUUACUUGAGCAUAAAAUUACCGAAAUAUUAAAUGCAUGUGGCUUUCAUGCUAAAAGUGCAAUUGCAACUUUAGUCCAAAAGCACUUGCUCCAAAGAUCUUGGCAUGGUUUGGUGAUGCAUGAUCUAGUACGAGAUAUGGGAAGAGAAAUUGUUAGCUUGGAAUCAGCUCGAGACCCUGGAAAAUGGAGUAGAUUGUUCAUCCCUCAAGAAGUUCGUGAUGUUCUACAAGGAAAUGAAGUCAGUAAAUCCUUCAUCUUUAUCUUGGUUAUAUAUUUUUUUCUGUUAAAUUGUUUCUUGCUUAUAAUUUUUGUUGUCAUCAUAAGAAAUCAUUUGUGCUUCGUCUCCGGUUAGUAAGUAUUUUGUAGUUGUUUGUCAACCAUUGUAAACUAGAAAUGACAUUUGCUAAAUUCUUAACUCACACCAAAGGCAAAAACAAAAACAAAAAAUCACCUAUUUAACAAUUAUCCAAAUUUGGUGAUGCAUAUUUCUUAUUGAAUUCUUAUAACUAACAUGCUUAUGGGCAUAGACCAUAGUAUCUCCAUGAUUAGUUAUUCAAAGAUAUUUGACUUUCCUUAACUAAAUGCGGAAAUUAAGCUUGCUCGAAGAAAUCAGGCAUGUGCGUUUGGAAACUGUUGAAUAGGUACAUAUGUGAAACAUUAUUUCUAGAACGAUAUAUACAAAAAUGUUCUUUUAAAUAUAUUCAAAUAUAUAUUCUAUGUAUCUUCAAUUGGCGCUAUUAUCAGGUUUCUAGAUGCAAUUUGUUCUCUUUAUUCAUCUUUUUUUUCCUUUGAUAUUAUCAUGUGAACUUAUUGAAUGCUGCUAGCCAGUUUUGAGCAAUUUUAAAUUUGUUUAACAUCCUCUAAUGUGUAACUUCAUUUUUGGUGAUACAUGGUGUAUUCUCUUUGUUUGUUCACCAAUUUGUAUAAAGCAUUUUUCUUGCUUAAUUUUUGGGACUUAACAUGAGCUUAAGUUACUUUUCUUUUUACUGAGCUGCAGGGUUCCGAAAAUGUAGAAGUACUGAAGGUAGAUCCAGGGACAUUAAAGGGAGUAAACUUGAGCACCAAAGCAUUUGAGCAAAUGAAAAACCUUAGGGUUCUUAUAAUGGAUGAGUUACAUAUUAGUGGAGAUUUUGGGUUGUUUUCCAAGAAGCUCAGAUGGUUGUCUUGGAAAAAAUGUCCUUUAAAAUGUAUAUCAUCAAAUUUUCCAGCUGAGAAUCUUGUAGUUCUAGAUAUGCGGGAGAGUGAUAUCCAAGAAUUUCGAUUGAAUUUGCAGGUUUGUUACUCAAUUUUACAAUUUCAUGUGUACUAUUAUUGCUACUGAGUGGAAGAAAAUCUUAAUUGAAUCUAUAUUUGGUUUACUUUUAGUGUUGUAGAAGUUUGAAGAAGCUGGAUCUCUCUUAUUGCAAGCAACUCAGAAGCACUCCAAACUUCAAUGGUUCACUGAGUCUUGAGAUUUUGGAUCUCUGGUUGCUCAAGUCUGACGGAGAUCCAUCCAUCAAUAGGAAAUUUGGACAGACUAAUUAAACUAGAUAUGUCUGAUUGCGAAAAACUUACGGAUCUUCCAAGCAGCAUAUGCCACCUAAUAUCCGUUGAUUAAUUGAGCAUUAGUAACUGCUCAUCAAUAAAAACACUGCCAGAUAACCUUGGAGAUAUGAAAAGUCUAAGAUGUCUUUAUGCAUCUUAUACGGGUAUAAAACAAUUGCCUAGAUCUGUUGAAAUGCUAAGAAAUCUUGUAGCUUUGAAUGUGGGAGGUCAAAAGUUAGAGGCCAAAAGGGGUAUUUGUGGAAGAGGAGUCCAUCGGAUACAAUAUUCCUUGCCAACUAUUGUAUCCGAUUUGAGCCUUACAUACUGUAAUUUAUCCGAGGCUGAUAUUCCUAGGGAUAUUGGGAGCUUAUCCUCCUUAGCAUAUUUAGAUUUGAGUGGCAGCAGUUUCUAUUGUCUACCCUUUGGUUUUUCUAAGUUACGAUUAUUGGAGAAGUUGAGUUUGAAUGACUGUGAGAAUCUUCAAACACUCCCGUCAGUAUCAAAUUUAGAGUAUCUUGGAAGAAUUGAACAUAAAAAUUGCCAAAAUUUGGUCAAGAUUACAGAUUUAGACAACCUCCCUUCUAUAAGG
rnacentral:lncRNA from 1 species